UUGGACGACACAAAACGUAAGGAGCAUCGUCGAGUGGCUCUGGCUUCGUUUGAGGGAAAUAUAAACGUGAAACCUAAAUUCACAAAGGACACAACCCUUGGCCUGGGGACCGUCGGACGACUGGGUGUCCAGAGAGAAUGGUGGCGAGCAGGGCACCGUGUCCCUCACCUAGAGACACAGCCAGUCCCCUAGUGACCCGCCGGGUUCCGCGGGCACCACGUGGUCAGUGGGGUCACAGGACAGAGCCCCACCGGGGUCAUUUAGGGUUGUAUCCAGUCCUGUGUUUUUACAAACGGCUGCUAUGGAGUCCUCACAGCUGGAGUCAGAGCGACUGAUUGACCCAGAGACAGUGCCGUCCGUCUCUUACUGUGACCGUGUCUCCUCGGACCCACUUCCUUUUCCUAAGUGUCAGCUGGCAACAGAGUCAAACUCAUAGGGCCCUCGUGAGGACCCGCGUCAAGUGCCCGGCUUGCUGCCUCAUGUAUAGUAAGCUCUCGACAAAUACGAACCACUCUCACUUCCCAACUUUAUCUGCAUCUGAGUUUCUCUGCAGCAUGAGGUCCAACCCGCGGAGCUACCUGGCCGGGGCCGGGUUUUGUUUGUUUUUAAGUAAGAAAAUUGGAUAAUCAACAAAGUGCAGGAAAUAAAUUAGCGUGUAAGAUGAGCAUUAAUAAGCAAUGUAUGUUUAUAAUUGGAAAAGAGAAGUUUAAAAAAGUGAAUUAGCCUAAAAGCAAGAUAGUGUCCCCUUUUUUCCAAAUAUGGUAAAGCUAUAGCAGCUACAGAUUUAACGGAAGUAAAACAACCUGUUAUUGGGAAGUCACAGAUGCCUUGGUUUUGGACUUUGUUGGCUUUUAAAAAUGAAACGGCUGUCCUUUUUAUUUCCCAUUCCAUGUUACAUACUGACUACUCUCAAAUAGCUACUUAAAGGAUCCCAAUCAGAAUAUUUUAAUAAUAAAAUAAUCUUCAUGGG